rnacentral:pre_miRNA from 7 species
GCUGGGAGCCGCGGUCGCCGUGCUCUCAGGGUCCAGUUUUCCCAGGAAUCCCUUAGGCGCUACGUUGGGGAUUCCUGGAAAUACUGUUCUUGGGGCCACGGCUCUGCACCUGGAGACAGC